rnacentral:tRNA from 1 species
AACAGUAUGGCCUAAUGGAUAGAGCAUGGGCCUGAGAGUCCAAAGGAUCUGGGUUCUAAUCCCAGCUCUGUCA